rfam:Gossypium arboreum cultivar AKA8401 contig_23751_1, whole genome shotgun sequence.
AUGCCAUAAUGAGGACAUUUUUGCAAUAGCUUAUUAAAUCGUUCCCAUGCAUCAUGUAAAGAUUCUUCGAUGAGUUGCUGAAAUGUAGUGAUUCAUUUCCAAGCUU